CUCUCACCAGACUAUUCCCUUAAAGUGGGAGGUCAAGGGUUCGAGCAGUGGGGGAGGCGACCUAAUUCCCAGAGGAAGGAAUUGGGCCAAAUCCACUUGGGAAGAACGGGUUCAAGUCCCGCGAACCAAGGGGACAAAUCCUGCCUGGAACCCGUGAGGGUGAAGGGAUGUUAAGAGCUGCUCAUAGUGGCUGGGCCCAGAGGAAGGUCACGGGCUGUGCGCGGUAACAGUGCCGGGGAUCACGUCCGGGCUGUUACAU
rnacentral:lncRNA from 1 species